AUUGAACGCUGGCGGCAGGCUUAACACAUGCAAGUCGAGCGGAGAUGAGGUGCUUGCACCUUAUCUUAGCGGCGGACGGGUGAGUAAUGCUUAGGAAUCUGCCUAUUAGUGGGGGACAACAUUCCGAAAGGAAUGCUAACACCGCAUACGUCCUACGGGAGAAAGCAGGGGAUCUUCGGACCUCGCGCUAAUAGAUGAGCCUAAGUCGGAUUAGCUAGUUGGUGGGGUAAAGGCCUACCAAGGCGACGAUCUGUAGCGGGUCUGAGAGGAUGAUCCGCCACACUGGGACUGAGACACGGCCCAGACUCCUACGGGAGGCAGCAGUGGGGAAUAUUGGACAAUGGGGGGAACCCUGAUCCAGCCAUGCCGCGUGUGUGAAGAAGGCCUUAUGGUUGUAAAGCACUUUAAGCGAGGAGGAGGCUACUGAGACUAAUACUCUUGGAUAGUGGACGUUACUCGCAGAAUAAGCACCGGCUAACUCUGUGCCAGCAGCCGCCGUAACAC
rnacentral:rRNA from 1 species